rnacentral:lncRNA from 1 species
GCGUCGGAUCGGCUCCGCACGGCAGCUGCCAGUCGAAGGCGUAGAGCAGCGAGCCGAUGACGAGAGGGAGCAGCCGCGACACCAGCGGUAUCGCCGGGCAUUUCCGCCGCCCCGACCCGAACGGCAGGAACUCGUAGUGGUGGCCCUUGUAGUCGGCGGCGGCGGGGUUCUCCGGCGCGAAGCGGGCCGGGUCGAACACCUCGGGCUCGGGCCACGUCGACGGGUCGCGGCCGAGCGCCCACACGUUGACGAAGACCUGCGUGUCGCAGGGGAUGCCGUGGCCGAGGAGGGUGCAGGGCUUGAGGGACUUGUGCGGCACGAGGAAGGGGAGGGGAGGGUGCAGCCUCAGGGUUUCGUUGAUCACGCCCUUGAGGUAGGGGAGGUUGAUCACGUCCUUCUCCUCCAGGUACUCCUUGCUCGCCGCGAUGUUCUCGCGCACCUCCGCUUGCGCCUUCUUCAUCACCUCCGGGUGCUUGAUCAGCUCCGCCAUCGCCCACUCCAUCGUCCCCGCCGUCGUGUCGAUCCCCGCG